CGGUGCGAUCAUACCAGCACUAAUGCACCGGA
rnacentral:rRNA from 1 species